rnacentral:miRNA from 1 species
UCCAGGGUGGAAAAGAGCUUG